AGAGUGCCAGAUAGAGAAACGUGAUUGGUCACUCCAGCGAACAUGUCUUCACUGCUCUAGAGUUUAGUGGCAUUGUGCUUUACUCCACUGCAUGUGACGCCUUCAUUGCCCUUUGUGAUGUAAGGCUUAUUAUACAAAUGGUCACCAUGGAAACCCAUUCCAUAAAGGUCUCUAAUCUGAAGGCCACAUGAAGUCUGUAGUGGUUGACUCUGCAGGAAGUUGGCGACCUCUGUGCGCUCUGUGCCUCAGCAUCGGCAGAAAGUUUAUCACCACAGAGUUACAAACGUUAUCAGAUGGAAUACAACAAAAACAUGCAGAUCAGAACAUGCAGGAAACACAAGACAGUGUCCUGGUUAGGACGAACAGAUCUCUUUGGAGGAGCUUGAAACGUUCAGAUUUUGCUUCUGAAGGUUUUCCAAUGCUACACAGAGCUUUGAGAAGAUCCCGAGUACCCUGAAAAGGAGUGACAUCCUCAGAGGUUUGAAUGGAUAUCUGCCAGUGCAGUGAAUUUACACCCAGCUAACAGUCAACAGGACAAGGAGAAGAAGGCAGCAGCUACAGAAACGUACUGGCAGAAAUGACCUGAAGCCACCUGGGUUCUCGGACCUCUGCAGGUUCAAUAAUGAUGACCUGUCAUUGAGAUUAGCCAGGGUUAAACCAGGUUUUUAUUGGACCUCUUCGCUGAAGCGGCUCACACCCACUAACCUCAGUAUGCAGCACCAAAGACACAGAGGCAGAGCUAACGGUUCAGAUCAAAGCCACGACCUAAUGUCAGUCAUUUUCUGCCAAAUUGAGCAGAUCCGAAAGCUCUUAACUUCAUCCUGCCUCUGUUCUGCUUUUCUUUAGUUUCUGCUAAAGAGCUUACAGCGUGAGAUGUUGCAUUUUACCGAGGUAAAAAUUAGUCCCUGUAGAAAAAUCUCUGAUUGAGGUGUUGCCCCUCAGCGGGCUUCCAGAAGCUGUUCAAUCAGGAAGAAGUGAGCUUAAACGGGCGCUCACACACAGAUGGGAGGAUUACACUGAGGGUGCUCUUACACGGAGUUGGGAUUAAAAAGCAGCUGAUGGUUUAACUUCAUUUAAAGGACCAUUCAACAGUUUCUUCCAUCUGACUCGAACAAAGGCAAGCACAAAAAAAGACAGAAAGGACAGGUGGGAAAAUAAACGUGUCCCAAUCUGUGGGUCAGGACUCUCGCUGGUUCCCAGCCUACGCCCACAGGGGCACAUUUUUUAUUUACAUUUUUAAAUAAAGUUUUAAAACUAUUCAAUCUUUUUUAUAUUUAUCAUAAAACUGUGAAAAACUAAAAUCUUUUAACAGUCUAAAAAACAAAAGCCAACAAAAAAGCACGAUCUGAAUUUUAUUUUAAAAAAGUUACUGCCAGUGUUUGAAAUAUUUUGUUGGAAUGCCCUAUUAACUUUUACAUUUUAUUUUGAAAUGGUUAUGCUCCUAUAUGUUCUAAACAUUUUAUUUUGAAGGAGUCAUAGUUUAGUGCAUUUGAAAUACAUUUAUUUUGAAGGAGUGACAUUCUGUUGCAUUUAAACCUUUUUAUUUUGAAGGAUUUGAUGUUUGUUCAUUUUAAACAUUAUUUUAAAUGUUAUAUUUAAUUUAUUUAUUUUUUAGUUUUUGAAGGAAUUGUACGCUUUUGCAUUUGAAUCUUUUCAUUUUGCAGUGGUCCUAUCUUGUAUUUUAAACCUCUUAUUUUGAAGAAAUCAAUAUGUUCUAUUCUAAACUUAUUUUGAAGGAGCACCAAUCUUGCAUUUUAAACCUCUUAUUGUGAAGGGGGCAAUAGUCUUGCAUUUUAAACCUCUUAUUUUAAAGGAGUUGAUCUCAAUUCCAUUGUAAACCUUUUACUUUGAAAGUUUCCACCGGCCAGAGGGAAAUUGGUGGUCUCUGCUGUUCCUUUCGGUGUCACGUGACCAGCGCUCAUUGAUGAUAAGGUGUUGAUGAUUAUUGAUCGUGUGUGACUGUCGUGCCGUCGUCUUAUUUCUGUGUUUUGCUGUAAAAAAGCAAACAGGAAGUUCAGUGUCAACAUGUUUUUGUAAACGGCAUCUGUUUUUCAUGGAUACAACAAUAAAGUUUUGUAAAUAAAUGUUUUUUUUCACUAAUCAGAUCAAA
ensembl:lncRNA